rnacentral:tRNA from 1 species
AAGGCUUUAAGUUAAAUUAAACUGACAGCCUUCAAAGCUUUAAAUAAAGAAAAUAUCUUUAAGCCUUA